UAAGCUCCGUAGUCGAAAGGGAAACAGCCCAGACCAACAGCUAAGGUCCCUAAGUGUAUGCUAAGUGAUAAAGGAUGUGGAACUGCACAGACAGCCAGGAGGUUGGCUUAGAAGCAGCAAUGCCUUCAAAGAGUGCGUAACAGCUCACUGGUCGAGUGAUUCUGCGCCAAAAAUGAUUGGGGCUAAGCAUACCACCGAAGCUUUGGAUCAGUACCUUUUGGUACUGGUGGUAGAGGAGCAUUCUAUACGGGCUGAAGGUUGACCGCAAGGACAACUGGACUGUAUAGAAGUGAGAAUGCCGGCAUGAGUAACGAUAAAUGCAGUGGGAAACUGCAUCGCCGUAAGCCUAAGGUUUUCUGAGCAAUGCUAAUCAGCUCAGAGUUAGUCGGCCCCUAAGAUGAGGCCGAAAGGCGUAGUCGAUGGGAAGCAGGUUCAUAUUCCUGCACGACCUGAUGGAGGCUAUCGUGAUGGGGUGACGUAGAAAGAUAUGGAUGCAGGGCGUUGGUUGUCCCUGUUCUUAUGCGAAGGCUGAGAAUCCAGGUAAAUCCGGAUUUUCUUAAGGCUGAGGCUGUAGAGGAGCGAAUCCUCGGAGGAACGAAGAUCCAGAUUCUAUGCUACCAAGAAAAACCUCUAAACGCGAAAUUGGGUCACCGUACCGCAAACCGACACAGGUAGGCAAGGAGAGUAUCCUAAGGCGCUCGAGAGAACCCUCGUUAAGGAACUCGGCAAAAUAAUCCCGUAACUUCGGAAGAAGGGAAGCCCCAUUAGUGUGAAACUCAUACGAGUGGAGCAUGAGGGGGCCGCAGUGAAAAGGUCCAAGCGACUGUUUACCAAAAACACAGGACUCUGCGAAAUCGUAAGAUUAAGUAUAGGGUCUGACACCUGCCCGGUGCCGGAAGGUUAAAAGGAGGUGUUAGUAGGUCUUCGGACCUGCGAAGCUCUGAAUUGAAGCCCCGGUAAACGGCGGCCGUAACUAUGACGGUCCUAAGGUAGCGAAAUUCCUUGUCGGGUAAGUUCCGACCUGCACGAAUGGUGUAACGACUUGGGCACUGUCUCAACGAGGGACUCGGUGAAAUUGUAAUGUUUGUGAAGAUGCAGACUACCUGCAGAUGGACGGAAAGACCCCGUGCACCUUUACUGUAACCUGACACUGUAUUUUGGUCUAUUACGUGUAGGAUAGGUGGGAGACUUUGAAGUUGGGACGCUAGUUUCGAUGGAGUCAUCCUUGAAAUACCACCCUUAUUAUAUUGGAAUACUAACCGAUGUCUGUUGAUCCAGAAUCGGGACAAUGUCUGGCGGGCAGUUUGACUGGGGCGGUCGCCUCCCAAAAGGUAACGGAGGCGCCCUAAGGUUCCCUCAGCACGGACGGAAAUCGUGCAUAGAGUGUAAACGCAUAAGGGAGCUUGACUGCGAGACCUACAAGUCGAGCAGGUACGAAAGUAGGGGUUAGUGAUCCGGUGGUCCCGCGUGGAAGGGCCAUCGCUCAACGGAUAAAAGGUACGCCGGGGAUAACAGGCUGAUCUCCCCCAAGAGUCCACAUCGACGGGGAGGUUUGGCACCUCGAUGUCGGCUCA
rnacentral:rRNA from 1 species